UCACUUACCUGGACGGGGUCAACUCGCGAUCAAGAAGACGAGUGGCCUAGGCUAGUGAUUUCCAUUGCACAAUAAGGUUGGGUGCUAUGCCUAAGGUCUUUUAAAGAACCUGCGUCAUUAUUUGUGGCUAGAGGGGACCUGCGUUCGCGCGGUCCCUAC
rfam:Arabis alpina cultivar Pajares chromosome 5, whole genome shotgun sequence.